ACAUGCAAGUCGAACGCCCCGCAAGGGGAGUGGCAGACGGGUGAGUAACGCGUGGGAACAUACCCUUUCCUGCGGAAUAGCUCCGGGAAACUGGAAUUAAUACCGCAUACGCCCUACGGGGGAAAGAUUUAUCGGGGAAGGAUUGGCCCGCGUUGGAUUAGCUAGUUGGUGGGGUAAAGGCCUACCAAGGCGACGAUCCAUAGCUGGUCUGAGAGGAUGAUCAGCCACAUUGGGACUGAGACACGGCCCAAACUCCUACGGGAGGCAGCAGUGGGGAAUAUUGGACAAUGGGCGCAAGCCUGAUCCAGCCAUGCCGCGUGAGUGAUGAAGGCCUUAGGGUUGUAAAGCUCUUUCACCGGAGAAGAUAAUGACGGUAUCCGGAG
rnacentral:rRNA from 1 species